rnacentral:rRNA from 1 species
AUGGCAGAAUGCUUCAAUAAGGUGCUCAAGGGUGUACGUGCAUUACCCGUGAUGGCAAUAGUUCAAUACACAUUUCACAAGAUGAAUGGAUACUUUUUAGAGUACUCAAUGGAGACGAAUAAGCAGAUUGCUGGUGAGAACAAGGAUAAGCACAAGUACAAUUUCCCACCAAAGGUUGAAUAAUGGUUGGACUUUCAAUCACGAAAGGCAGACUCCCAAGAAGUUGUACUAUAUGACGACAGCGAGUGGAAGUAUGAGGUGAAAGAGCCUGGAGAAACCACAAAUGAUGGCCACCAAGACGGAGGCCGCGCUUUCAAGGUCUCCCUAACACGGUGUGAUUGCAGCUGCAUGAGGCCAUCGUUGCUUCAUCUCCCAUGCUCGCACUUGUUAAACGCAUCCCGUGUUAGGAAUGUGCACGUCAAUCACCCUCUUACCGUGAGGGAGUCCGAGUUCUCAAUCAUGAUGGUAAAGAAUACAUGGGCUCCCCGGUUUCAGCCAUACUUGGACCAAUCACAAUGGCCGGAGUAUCAUGGAGUUCAACUAUGGCCGGACCCG